GGAAAUCGGUUCCCAUGGAAUCAUCUACUGCGGCGCCUUCUAGUUCUAGUUUCUGUUUCCGAGACCACCAGCAACAGGAGGAUGCAACCGAGUCCGAUACCAGUUCCGACAUUUCCUCCUUGUCUGGCUACAGAGCUGAGAAGUCCGACCUUGAAUCCAUGAGUGGAAAGGCAGGUUAUUUUCAAUUUUCCAUUUGGCUCCCGAGAAAACUGAAGUCAAGAAAGAAAACGUGUGCUACGAAAAUUUUAUUUCUUUCUAAUACAGUAAUGUGUAUUUCCGCUGUUUGAUUUCGGUGGAUUAUACUUCUUUGUAUCGGAAAACGGAGCUGAUGAUGCUAUAGCAAAUUUAGAAAUGGAGGAAGAAAAUUUACAAAAGGUGCAACUUUUAGAUGAUAAACUCUGCAAUUUCUGAGAAGGCCAUGCUUACAUUGCAAUUUACUCUGGUGGCAGAAAAUUUCUGCUGCUGAACUCCACAAGGCACUAGUUGGAAUUUGCAGG
rnacentral:misc_RNA from 1 species